ACUCAAAUGAAUUGACGGGGGCUCACACAAGCGGUGGAGCAUGUGGCUUAAUUCGAAGCAACGCGAAGAACCUUAUCCAAGGCUUGACAUGUAUGGAUUAGUUCGGUGAAAGCCGAAUGAGGCCCUUUGGGUACAACAUACACAGGUGCUGCAUGGCUGUCGUCAGCUCGUGCUGUGAAGUGUCGGGUUAAGUCCCUUAACGAGCGAAACCCCUGUCGCUAGUUGCUAACGCGUUAUGGCGAGGACUCUAGCGAGACUGCCGGUGUCAAACCGGAGGAAGGUGGGGAUGACGUCAAGUCCUCAUGGCCUUUAUGCCUUGGGCUGCACACGUGCUACAAUGGCGCGGUACAAAGCGAAGCGAGACCGCAAGGUGGAGCAAAUCGCAUAAAACGCGCCCCAGUUCAGAUUGAGGUCUGCAACCCGACCUCAUGAAGUUGGAAUCGCUAGUAAUCGGGGAUCAGCUACGCCCCGGUGAAUAUGUUCCUGAGCCUUGUACACACCGCCCGU
rnacentral:rRNA from 1 species